rnacentral:rRNA from 1 species
AGAGUUUGAUCAUGGCUCAGGACGAACGCUGGCGGCGUGCUUAACACAUGCAAGUCGAACGGAAAGGCCCUUCGAGGUACUCGAGUGGCGAACGGGUGAGUAACACGUGGGUGAUCUGCCCUGCACUUUGGGAUAAGCCUGGGAAACUGGGUCUAAUACCGAAUAUGACCACGCUCUUCAUGGGGUGUGGUGGAAAGCUUUUGCGGUGUGGGAUGGGCCCGCGGCCUAUCAGCUUGUUGGUGGGGUAAUGGCCUACCAAGGCGACGACGGGUAGCCGGCCUGAGAGGGUGACCGGCCACACUGGGACUGAGAUACGGCCCAGACUCCUACGGGAGGCAGCAGUGGGGAAUAUUGCACAAUGGGCGCAAGCCUGAUGCAGCGACGCCGCGUGAGGGAUGACGGCCUUCGGGUUGUAAACCUCUUUCACCAGGGACGAAGCGCAAGUGACGGUACCUGGAGAAGAAGCACCGGCCAACUACGUGCCAGCAGCCGCGGUAAUACGUAGGGUGCGAGCGUUGUCCGGAAUUACUGGGCGUAAAGAGCUCGUAGGUGGUUUGUCGCGUUGUUCGUGAAAACUCACAGCUUAACUGUGGGCGUGCGGGCGAUACGGGCAGACUAGAGUACUGCAGGGGAGACUGGAAUUCCUGGUGUAGCGGUGGAAUGCGCAGAUAUCAGGAGGAACACCGGUGGCGAAGGCGGGUCUCUGGGCAGUAACUGACGCUGAGGAGCGAAAGCGUGGGGAGCGAACAGGAUUAGAUACCCUGGUAGUCCAA